rnacentral:rRNA from 1 species
UGGGGAAUAUUGGGCAAUGGGCGAAAGCCUGACCCAGCAACGCCGCGUGAAGGAUGAAGGUCUUCGGAUUGUAAACUUCUUUUAUGUGGGAAGAAACAAAUGACGGUACCACAUGAAUAAGCCACGGCUAACUACGUGCCAGCAGCCGCGGUAAUACGUAGGUGGCAAGCGUUGUCCGGAUUUACUGGGUGUAAAGGGCGAGUAGGCGGGACUGUAAGUCAGAUGUGAAAUGCGGAGGCUCAACCUCCGAGCUGCAUUUGAAACUACGGUUCUUGAGUGAUGGAGAGGCAGGCGGAAUUCCCGGUGUAGCGGUGGAAUGCGUAGAUAUCGGGAGGAACACCAGUGGCGAAGGCGGCCUGCUGGACAUUAACUGACGCUGAGGAGCGAAAGCGUGGGGAGCAAACA